rnacentral:rRNA from 1 species
CUGAGACACGGCCCAGACUCCUACGGGAGGCAGCAGUGGGGAAUUUUGGACAAUGGGCGCAAGCCUGAUCCAGCAAUGCCGCGUGCAGGAAGAAGGCCUUCGGGUUGUAAACUGCUUUUGUACGGAACGAAAAGGCUCUGGCUAAUACCUGGAGCUCAUGACGGUACCGUAAGAAUAAGCACCGGCUAACUACGUGCCAGCAGCCGCGGUAAUACGUAGGGUGCGAGCGUUAAUCGGAAUUACUGGGCGUAAAGCGUGCGCAGGCGGUGCUGUAAGACAGGCGUGAAAUCCCCGGGCUCAACCUGGGAAUUGCGCUUGUGACUGCAGCGCUGGAGUGCGGCAGAGGGGGAUGGAAUUCCGCGUGUAGCAGUGAAAUGCGUAGAUAUGCGGAGGAACACCGAUGGCGAAGGCAAUCCCCUGGGCCUGCACUGACGCUCAUGCACGAAAGCGUGGGGAGCAAACAGGAUUAGAUACCCUGGUAGUCCACGCCCUANACGAUGUCAACUGGUUGUUGGGAAUUUACUUUCUCAGUAACGAAGCUAACGCGUGAAGUUGACCGCCUGGGGAGUACGGCCGCAAGGUUGAAACUCA